rnacentral:rRNA from 1 species
CCUACGGGUGGCAGCAGUGAGGAAUAUUGGUCAAUGGACGCAAGUCUGAACCAGCCAUGCCGCGUGCAGGAAGACGGCUCUAUGAGUUGUAAACUGCUUUUGUACGAGGGUAAACGCAGAUACGCGUAUCUGUCUGAAAGUAUCGUACGAAUAAGGAUCGGCUACUUCGGGCCAGCAGGCGCCGUUAUACGGGGGGUUCAAGCGUUAACCGGAAUUAAUGGGUUUAAAGGGUGCGUAGGCGGUCGGAUAAGUUAGAGGUGAAAUCCCGAGGCUCAACUUCGGAAUUGCCUCUGAUACUGUUCGGCUAGAGAGUAGUUGCGGUAGGCGGAAUGUAUGGUGUAGCGGUGAAAUGCUUAGAGAUCAUACAGAACACCGAUUGCGAAGGCAGCUUACCAAGCUACUUCUGACGUUGAGGCACGAAAGCGUGGGGAGCAAACAGGAUUAGAUACCCCAGUAGUC